GAUGAACGCUGGCGGCGUGCCUAAUACAUGCAAGUCGAGCGAACAGACGAGGAGCUUGCUCCUCUGACGUUAGCGGCGGACGGGUGAGUAACACGUGGAUAACCUACCUAUAAGACUGGGAUAAAUUCGGGAAACCGGAGCUAAUACCGGAUAAUAUAUUGAACCGCAUGGUUCAAUAGUGAAAGACGGUUUUGCUGUCACUUAUAGAUGGAUCCGCGCUGCAUUAGCUAGUUGGUAAGGUAACGGCUUACCAAGGCAACGAUGCGUAGCCGACCUGAGAGGGUGAUCGGCCACACUGGAACUGAGACACGGUCCAGACUCCUACGGGAGGCAGCAGUAGGGAAUCUUCCGCAAUGGGCGAAAGCCUGACGGAGCAACGCCGCGUGAGUGAUGAAGGUCUUCGGAUCGUAAAACUCUGUUAUUAGGGAAGAACAAAUGUGUAAGUAACUAUGCACGUCUUGACGGUACCUAAUCAGAAAGCCACGGCUAACUACGUG
rnacentral:rRNA from 1 species